AGAGUGAACGCUGGCGGUAGGCCUAACACAUGCAAGUCGAACGGCAGCACAGUCCCGCAAGGGAUGGGUGGCGAGUGGCGGACGGGUGAGGAAUACAUCGGAAUCUACCUUUUCGUGGGGGAUAACGUAGGGAAACUUACGCUAGUACCGCAUAAGACCUUCGGGUGAAAGCCGGGGACCUUCGGGCCUGGCGCGGAUAGAUGAGCCGAUGUCGGAUUAGCUUGUUGGCGGGUAAAAGCCCACCAAGGCGACGAUCCGUAGCUGGUCUGAGAGGACGAUCAGCCACACUGGGACUGAGACACGGCCCAGACUCCUACGGGAGGCAGCAGUGGGGAAUC
rnacentral:rRNA from 1 species